rnacentral:rRNA from 1 species
UACGUAGGGGGCAAGCGUUGUCCGGAUUUAUUGGGCGUAAAGAGCGUGUAGGCGGUUUGGUAGGUCCGCUGUGAAAACUCGAGGCUCAACCUCGAGACGCCGGUGGAAACCAUCAGGCUAGAGUCCGGAAGAGGAGAAUGGAAUUCCCGGUGUAGCGGUGAAAUGCGCAGAUAUCGGGAAGAACACCCGUGGCGAAGGCGGUUCUCUGGGACGGUACUGACGCUGAGACGCGAAAGCGUGGGGAGCGAACAGG